rnacentral:rRNA from 1 species
UACGGAGGGUGCAAACGUUGCUCGGAAUCAUUGGGCGUAAAGCGCACGUAGGCGGCCUGUUAAGUCGGAUGUGAAAGCCCCGGGCUCAACCCGGGAAGUGCAUUCGAAACUGGCAGGCUUGAAUAUGGAAGAGGGUCGCGGAAUUCCCGGUGUAGAGGUGAAAUUCGUAGAUAUCGGGAGGAACACCAGUGGCGAAGGCGGCGACCUGGGCCAAUAUUGACGCUGAGG